CGGAAUUGCUAGUAAUGGCAGGUCAGCAUACUGCCGUGAAUACGUUCCCGGGCCUUGUACACACCGCCCGUCACACCAUGAGAGUUGGGGAUACCCGAAGCCUGUGAGCUAACAGUAAUGGAGCAGCAGUCGAAGGUAGAAUCAAUGAUUGGGGUGAAGUCGUAACAAGGUAUC
rnacentral:rRNA from 1 species